rnacentral:rRNA from 1 species
ACGCACCACUGGUGUACGGGUUGUGAUGCCAAUUGCAUUGCCCGGUAGCUAAGUGCGGAAGAGAUAACCGCUGAAAGCAUCUAAGCGGGAAACUUGCCUCGAGAUGAGUCUUCCCUGGGACUUUGAGUCCCCUAAAGGGCCGUUGAAGACGACGACGUAGAUAGGCCGGGUGUGUAAGCGCAGCGAUGCGUUGAGCUAACCGGUACUAAUGACCCGAGAGGCUUAACCUUACAACACCGAAGGUGUUUUAG